ACAUGCAAGUCGAACGAUGAUGGGAGCUUGCUCCUGGAUUAGUGGCGAACGGGUGAGUAACACGUGAGUAACCUGCCCUUAACUCUGGGAUAAGCCUGGGAAACUGGGUCUAAUACCGGAUAUGACUCCUCAUCGCAUGGUGGGGGGUGGAAAGCUUUAUUGUGGUUUUGGAUGGACUCGCGGCCUAUCAGCUUGUUGGUGAGGUAAUGGCUUACCAAGGCGACGACGGGUAGCCGGCCUGAGAGGGUGACCGGCCACACUGGGACUGAGACACGGCCCAGACUCCUACGGGAGGCAGCAGUGGGGAAUAUUGCACAAUGGGCGCAAGCCUGAUGCAGCGACGCCGCGUGAGGGAUGACGGCCUUCGGGUUGUAAACCUCUUUCAGUAGGGAAGAAGCGAAAGUGACGGUACCUGCAGAAGAAGCGCCGGCUAACUACGUGCCAGCAGCCGCGGUAAUACGUAGGGCGCAAGCGUUAUCCGGAAUUAUUGGGCGUAAAGAGCUCGUAGGCGGUUUGUCGCGUCUGCCGUGAAAGUCCGGGGCUCAACUCCGGAUCUGCGGUGGGUACGGGCAGACUAGAGUGAUGUAGGGGAGACUGGAAUUCCUGGUGUAGCGGUGAAAUGCGCAGAUAUCAGGAGGAACACCGAUGGCGAAGGCAGGUCUCUGGGCAUUAACUGACGCUGAGGAGCGAAAGCAUGGGGAGCGAACAGG
rnacentral:rRNA from 1 species